rnacentral:rRNA from 1 species
ACACGACCGUACCGCAAACCGACACUGGUGCGCGAGAUGAGUAUUCUAAGGCGCUCGAGAGAACUCAGGAGAAGGAACUCGGCAAAUUGACACCGUAACUUCGGAAGAAGGUGUGCCUUUAGUAGGUGAAGUCCCUCGCGGAUGGAGCCCAAUGAGGUUGCAAAGAAUCGGUGGCUGCGACUGUUUAUUAAAAACACAGCACUCUGCAAACACGAAAGUGGACGUAUAGGGUGUGACGCCUGCCCGGUGCUGGAAGAUUAAAUGAUGGGGUGCAAGCUCUUGAUUGAAGUCCCAGUAAACGGCGGCCGUAACAAUAACGGUCCUAAGGUAGCGAAAUUCCUUGUCGGGUAAGUUCCGACCUGCACGAAUGGCGUAACGAUGGCCACACUGUCUCCUCCUGAGACUCAGCGAAGUUGAAAUGUUUGUGAUGAUGCAAUCUCCCCGCGGAAAGACGGAAAGACCCCAUGAACCUUUACUGUAGCUUUGUAUUGGACUUUGAACAGAUCUGUGUAGGAUAGGUGGGAGGCUUUGAAGCAGGGUCGCUAGAUCUUGUGGAGCCAACGUUGAAAUACCACCCUGGUGUGUUUGAGGUUCUAACCUAGGCCCGUAAUCCGGGUUGGGGACAGUGCAUGGUAGGCAGUUUGACUGGGGCGGUCUCCUCCCAAAGUGUAACGGAGGAGUUCGAAGGUACGCUAGUUACGGUCGGACAUCGUGACGAUAGUGCAAUGGCAUAAGCGUGCUUAACUGCGAGACUGACAAGUCGAGCAGAUGCGAAAGCAGGACAUAGUGAUCCGGUGGUUCUGUAUGGAAGGGCCAUCGCUCAACGGAUAAAAGGUACUCUGGGGAUAACAGGCUGAUACCGCCCAAGAGUUCAUAUCGACGGCGGUGUUUGGCACCUCGAUGUCGGCUCAUCUCAUCCUGGGGCUGUAGCCGGUCCCAAGGGUAUGGCUGUUCGCCAUUUAAAGAGGUACGUGAGCUGGGUUUAAAACGUCGUGAGACAGUUUGGUCCCUAUCUUCCGUGGGCGCUGCAGAUUUGAGGAAGCCUGCUCCUAGUACGAGAGGACCGGAGUGGACGCACCUCUGGUGUAUCGGUUGUCACGCCAGUGGCAUUGCCGAGUAGCUAUGUGCGGAAGAGAUAACCGCUGAAAGCAUCUAAGCGGGAAACUCGUUUCAAGAUGAGAUCUGCCGGGGCCUUGAGCCCCCUGAAGAGUCGUUCAAGACCAGGACGUUGAUAGGUCGGGUGUGGAAGCGCAGUAAUGCGUUAAGCUAACCGAUACUAAUUGCUCGUGCGGCUUGACCCC